ACAUGGCCUUUUCCCCUGUGUCUGUGUGUGCUACAUUUCCCUCUCUUUUCUCUUAUAGGACACCAGUGAUUGGAUUUAGGGCCCACCCUAAAUACAGAAUGAACUCAUCUCAAGAUCCUUAAUUACAUUAGCAAAGACCCUUUUUCUAAAUAAGCUCACAAUUUACAGCCCUUUUCCUGGAAAUUAAUGCAGCUUAUUAUGCUUCACAUUGGAAGAGGCAAAGAGCCAUAGCCUCACACCUUUCCAUGAAUUAUUCUAAAGUUGGCAGCAGACUACCUAAAUGAAAAGCAACAGCAAAACAACACCCAGAGGUUACAGGAGCUGGGAUCUUGAACUUGGUGGUUUGGGAACCAGGUUUUGCUGCUGACAGUACACUGGAAGCCAGAAUCUAGGACUGAGCCUGGCUUGGAGAUCAAUGGAGUUGGCCUGGAACAAGAAACCCUCUCGAAUACAAUUUGUGACAAUGGAAGGGAGUUUUCCAGCCAGUGCAGCCUGUGCAGCAGGAGACACAGAGACAGAAUCAAAGAAGAGCUGAGUUUUGGCAAUGGAAGAGAAAUCAGGGAGGAUGAGUUCCACAGUGGCUGCCCAGUCAUGUGGGCUGGCACUAUGCCCUCAUCAAAGCAGUUCCUGCCAGCUUAUAUGUAACAAUAGAGUCUGUUACCUGUGUUUUCUGACUUCUCCAAAUGGGCCUGUCAGCCCCUAGCACCCCAGAUAACCUAACCCAGUCCUUGUCACCUAUGCCUCACACAUAUCCCUCCCUUAGGCUUAAACUCCCAAUAACACACCCCAUCACUAUCUUGUCCUGUGGGAAUGGAGUGGCGAGAGUCUUGGAGCCCUGUAGACCCUGAUGCUUGAAUCCUAACCCCACUCUGACAUCCAGCUUUACUUCUUUCCCCAAGUAACUCUUUCCUUCCAUUGUCUGCCAGCUCCAAGAGAAAGAGUAUUAGGCCUAGGGGUGCUUUCCAACAGGCCCUGAGUGUUUGGGGUGUACAUCAAAUGUUUUCUGGGGGAACAGCAAGUCAAAUGCCGUAUGCAACUCAGAAGGCCAUACAAGUACAGAACCUCCAUAUCCUGGGUCCACCAAGGCCUUGGAGUGACUGGGGAAUGAAACUAGAAUCUUCUUCCAGGCCUUCAAACCCCACAGUUAGUCCCACUGUCUGCACGAGACAUCAGAGCUCACAGAAGUCCCCUUGUCUCUGAGGUUGGCCAGAGGAACAAGCUGCUAGUGAGUAUCAGUGUUAGAAAUGCUGGCAACAAGCAGCAUAGGACACUUUUUUUUUUUUUUGAGUUUUAUUUUUUUAUUUUUUUAAUAUGAAAUUUAUUAUCAAAUUGGUUUCCAUACAUCACCCAGUGCUCCUCCCAACACAUAGGACACUUUUAAUGCUCCUAUAAAGCAUGUGUAUUCUGAGGAACUUACACUCCUGAGCAGCUGGGGCCACAUCUGUAAAUGUCACACAUAAUGAGCUGUUCCAAGAAAGAUCCAGGAAUACAAAACGCUUGAUUUCCUGGCUCCAGUGCCUCCCCUUGGAAACCUUCUCCUCUGAGGACAAUUUGGCGAAAGGUCAAAUUGGUACCUUGACCUUUACGCGCACACACACACACACACACACACACACACGCACAGAGAGAGAGAGAGAGAGAGAGAGAGAGAGAGAGAGAACAAGAAAAUCACUUGGUUAUAUUAAGAAUCCCAUCACAUUCCUCUCUCAGGAAGGCAGGAUAUAGUAAUCAGAAACAGACAAAAAGAAAAAAUAAUUGACAAGGCACCUGUUUUUUUUACAUAGAUCUACUUCUUUCUAACUCUCUUGCAGGUUCUCUUGCUGUUCUAUUACUUGGUAACCAAUUGCCCCAGCUCCAAAUCUGUUCCUCCUUUCCAUAAUCAUAAUAUCUAGAAGUUGAGUUCCCAAGGCAACCACAAAUAUUUGUUAUUCUUUCUGCCCUGUGAUUUUCCCUAAAAAUAAACUCAGAUAUUUUUCCUACCAUCAAAAUGCCAUGAAGAAUGUUAAUGGAUAUUGCUUUUUUAUGCAUACCUGUGAAAUAAAGAAGGUGUAAUGCUGCUUAGGCAAAAUUUCCAGAAAUACUGUGAAAGUCCUAAAGUGGAAGAUAAUAUAAAAGCUGGGGUGUUAGAUUGUUCUAUCUUUAAAAUGGAACAAGGCAUGGGGGAAAGGAUUAGAGCAAGUUGUUAUACAUAUGUUCAUGCACCCAAACAAGCAGAAUUUUUUUCCUUUUUAGAAAGGAAAUAGCUGAGUGCCUAUUUGCUCUGAGGUCUCAUACAGAUUUCCUUCGAAAUGUCCCUUUGAUGUGCCAGCCAAGGACUCCCAGAGAUCUCUAUCUGAAGCCAACAGAACUGAAACCAAUUAACAAACAAAUUUGUUUUCUGUUCACAUGUGUCUCUGGGGUGGGUGACCUUUCAGAAAUCAUGGAUAAAGUCUCCAUUUAAGGCUCCAACACAGUAAUGACCCCACUACACAAAUCAUUGUGGCUUAAGGGGCUUCCAAAUUAAAGGAGGUCUUGCAAAUGGUAAUGUCACAAUGGCAAUAGUGAUAGAAAACUUUACAUUUCAAUUAUGUCAACAACAGUUUGCAAACGCAUUUAUGUUCCCUCUCUUUUUGAUCCUCAGAGAAACUCCCUAGGACACACACACACACACACACACACACACACAGAGUUCCAUUUUACAAGUAUGCAAAAGCUGAGGCUGAAGAGCAAGGACACUUGCCCCACCUAUAUGCUACUGGGUGUACAACUCAACCAAGUCUUCUACUUCCAGUCCCAUGUCUUAUUAUCCUGAAUAUUCUUUAUGCUUCCACCUCACCAUACCUACUAUCAUCCAAGAAUCCUGAAACCAGUAGAAUUUGUGAUACAGAGGACCAGGAG